UACGUAGGGCGCAAGCGUUAUCCGGAAUUAUUGGGCGUAAAGAGCUCGUAGGCGGUUUGUCGCGUCUGCCGUGAAAGUCCGGGGCUCAACUCCGGAUCUGCGGUGGGUACGGGCAGACUAGAGUGAUGUAGGGGAGACUGGAAUUCCUGGUGUAGCGGUGAAAUGCGCAGAUAUCAGGAGGAACACCGGCGGCGAAGGCGGGUCUCUGGGCCGUAACUGGACGCUGAGGAGCGAAAGCGUGGGGAGCGAACAGG
rnacentral:rRNA from 1 species